rnacentral:rRNA from 1 species
AACGAACGCUGGCGGCAUGCCUAAUACAUGCAAGUCGAACGAUCACUUCGGUGGUAGUGGCGCACGGGUGCGUAACGCGUGGGAAUCUGCCCUUGGGUUCGGAAUAACAUCUGGAAACGGAUGCUAAUACCGGAUGAUGACGUAAGUCCAAAGAUUUAUCGCCCAGGGAUGAGCCCGCGUAGGUUUAGCUAGUUGGUGGGGUAAAGGCCUACCAAGGCGACGAUCCUUAGCUGGUCUGAGAGGAUGAUCAGCCACACUGGGACUGAGACACGGACCAGACUCCUACGGGGGGCAGCAGUAGGGAAGAUUGGACACUGGGGGCAACCAUGAUCCAGCAAUGGCGCGUGAGUGAUGAAGGCCUUAGGGUUGUAAAGCUCUUUUACCCGGGAUGAUAAUGACAGUACCGGGAGAAUAAGCCCCGGAUAACUCCGUGAAAGCAGCCGCGGUAA